AUACGGAGGGUGCAAGCGUUAUCCGGAAUCAUUGGGUUUAAAGGGUCCGUAGGCGGACUAUUAAGUCAGAGGUGAAAUCCCACAGCUCAACUGUGGAACUGCCUUUGAUACUGGUAGUCUUGGGUUAUAUGGAAGUAGAUAGAAUGUGUAGUGUAGCGGUGAAAUGCAUAGAUAUUACACAGAAUACCGAUUGCGAAGGCAGUCUACUACGUAUAUACUGACGCUAAGGGACGAAAGCGUGGGGAGCGAACAGGAUUAGAAACCCUAGUAGUCC
rnacentral:rRNA from 1 species